rnacentral:rRNA from 1 species
GUGGGGAAUAUUGGACAAUGGGCGAAAGCCUGAUCCAGCCAUGCCGCGUGUGUGAAGAAGGUCUUCGGAUUGUAAAGCACUUUAAGUUGGGAGGAAGGGUAGUAACCUAAUACGUUGCUACUUUGACGUUACCGACAGAAUAAGCACCGGCUAACUUCGUGCCAGCAGCCGCGGUAAUACGAAGGGUGCAAGCGUUAAUCGGAAUUACUGGGCGUAAAGCGCGCGUAGGUGGUUCAGUAAGUUGGAAGUGAAAUCCCCGGGCUCAACCUGGGAACUGCUUUCAAAACUGCUGAGCUAGAGUACGGUAGAGGGUGGUGGAAUUUCCUGUGUAGCGGUGAAAUGCGUAGAUAUAGGAAGGAACACCAGUGGCGAAGGCGACUACCUGGACUGAUACUGACACUGAGGUGCGAAAGCGUGGGGAGCAAACAGGAUUAGAAACCCGUGUAGUCC